UCAGCCUACUAUCAUAUAAGGGACACUAGAGCCCACAAAAAGACCCCCUGGAGGGGUAAAAAAAAAAUUUACCUUUUCUUUCCCGUGUCUGACAGACUGUUCUGUCAUACAGCAAGCUGAUCAGCAGGGGGAAAGUUUUCACAUCAAGCUGCUUUGUGUUCAACAUGGAGCUGAUAAAGAGUUUGUGCUACAAACCAGUCACAAGGAGAAACAGUGGAUUGAUCUGAGCUGCACUGAGAGUCAGAUCCAAUUCGGCCUUUAUUUAACAGAGUACCAACUUUUGUUAGUAACUGCCAUGAGCAUCGCCAGCUAAAACAGGAACUUGUGUUUGGAUUCAGUACAACAUGAAGAUCGGUCUUCCUUCAGUUCUAAUUGCUUUGCCGAAAUCCAGAACACCACAGGAGAAGCAGGAAUCAGCUAAAAAUAGUUUAAUGUCAUAUAAGGUGGGUGUAAGAUACGGUUCCGGUCCAGGGGGGAACUCAUGGAGCUGACAGCGCACU